GAUGAACGCUGGCGGCGUGCUUAACACAUGCAAGUCGAACGGGAAACCUUUUAUUGAAGCUUCGGCAGAUUUAGAUUGUUUCUAGUGGCGGACGGGUGAGUAACGCGUGGGUAACCUGCCUUAUACAGGGGGAUAACAGUCAGAAAUGACUGCUAAUACCGCAUAAGCGCACAGGACCGCAUGGUCCGGUGUGAAAAACUCCGGUGGUAUAAGAUGGACCCGCGUUGGAUUAGCUAGUUGGUGAGGUAACGGCCCACCAAGGCGACGAUCCAUAGCCGGCCUGAGAGGGUGAACGGCCACAUUGGGACUGAGACACGGCCCAGACUCCUACGGGAGGCAGCAGUGGGGAAUAUUGCACAAUGGGGGAAACCCUGAUGCAGCGACGCCGCGUGAAGGAAGAAGUAUCUCGGUAUGUAAACUUCUAUCAGCAGGGAAGAAAAUGACGGUAC
rnacentral:rRNA from 1 species